GGAGUCAGACGGCGGGUGCGAAGGUUCGUCGUCAAAAGGGAAACAGCCCAGACCAACAGCUAAGGUCUCCAAAUCCAUGCUCAGUGGUGAAGGUAGUGGAACCGUUCAGACAGCCAGGACGUUGGCUUAGAAGCAGCCAUCGUUUAAAGAAAGCGUAAUAGCUCACUGGUCUAAUGGCUCUGCGCCGAAAAUGUAACGGGGCUAAGCAUGGUACCGAAGCUUUGGCAACCUCCUUUGGAGGUUGGGUAGGGGAGCGUUCGCUGCGGGCUGAAGGUGUGCCGGAAGGCAUGCUGGACUGCAGUGAAGUGAUUAUGCUGACAUGAGUAACGAUAAAAUAUGUGAAAAACAUAUUCGCCGAAAACCCGAGGUUUCCUGGGUAAAGGUAAUCUUCCCAGGGUUAGUCGGAUCCUAAGGUGAGGGUGAAAGCCGUAACUGAUGGAAAACAGGUUAAUAUUCCUGUACUUGUUGCGUAGCGCGAUGGAGGGACGCAGGAAGAUAGGCGGGCCGGGUGUUGGAUAUCCCGGUGCAAGCGUGUAGGAAUAUCCGGUAGGCAAAUCCGCCGGACGAAUCUGAGACGCGAGUCCGUGGGCGCAAGCCCUGAAGCCGUUGAGUCUAUGCUGCCUAGAAAAGCUCCUAAGUAUAUCCGCAGCAAUCCGUACCGCAAACCAACUCAGGUGGGUGGGAUGAACAAUCCAAGGCGCUCGAGAGAACUCUGGCCAAGGAACUCGGCAAAAUAACCCCGUAACUUCGGAAGAAGGGGUGCUCUCUAAGGUGACAUGUUUAACAUAUGAAGCCCCGGAGAGCCGCAGUGAAUUGGUGGUGGCGACUGUUUACUAAAAACAUAGGUCUGUGCGAAGUCCUAAAGACGACGUAUACGGACUGACGCCUGCCCGGUGCUGGAAGGUUAAAAGGAGGAGUCAGCGCAAGCAAAGCUCCGAAUUGAAGCCCCAGUAAACGGCGGCCGUAACUAUAACGGUCCUAAGGUAGCGAAAUUCCUUGUCGGGUAAGUUCCGACCUGCACGAAUGGCGUAACGAUCUCCACACUGUCUCGGCCAGAGACUCGGUGAAAUUGCAGUCGCGGUGAAAAUUCCGUGUACCCGCAGAAAGACGGAAAGACCCUGUGCACCUUUACUAUAGCUUGACAUUGGAUUUUGGGCCUGCAUGUGUAGGAUAGGUGGGAGGCUGUGAACCCUGUACGCCAGUAUGGGGGGAGCCAUCCUUGAAAUACCACCCUUGCAUGUUUAAGAUCCUAACUUCUUCCGGUCAUCCCGGAGAAAGACAGUGUCUGGCGGGUAGUUUGACUGGGGCGGUCGCCUCCUAAAGUGUAACGGAGGCAUGCAAAGGUUCCCUCAGCCUGAUCGGAAACCAGGCGCUGAGUGCAAACGCAUAAGGGAGCUUGACUGUAAGAGAGACAUCUCGAACAGGAACGAAAGUUGGCGUUAGUGAUCCGGUGGUCCCGAAUGGAAGGGCCAUCGCUCAUUGGAUAAAAGGUACGCCGGGGAUAACAGGCUGAUCGCAUCCAAGAGUUCACAUCGACGAUGCGGUUUGGCACCUCGAUGUCGGCUCAUCACAUCCUGGGGCUGAAGCAGGUCCCAAGGGUACGGCUGUUCGCCGUUUAAAGUGGUACGCGAGCUGGGUUUAAAACGUCGUGAGACAGUUUGGUCCCUAUCUUCUGUGGGCGAAGGAGAAUUGAGAGGGCCUGUCCCUAGUACGAGAGGACCGGGAUGGACGCACCCCUGGUGAUCCUGUUGUCGCGCCAGCGGCACAGCAGGGUAGCUAUGUGCGGAAGGGAUAACCGCUGAAAGCAUCUAAGCGGGAAGCCUGCCUCAAGAUAAGUUCUCCCCUCGAAAGAGCUGAAGGGCCCGGGUAGACUACCCGGUCGAUAGGCUGGAGGUGUAAGCGCGGCGACGCGCUCAGCUGACCAGUACUAAUAGCCCGAGCGGCUUAUUUGU
rnacentral:rRNA from 1 species